AUCGAUAGGUGUUACCCAGCUCACUGUAACAUCGAUAGGUGUCACCCAGCUCACUGUAACAUCGAUAGGUGUCACCCAGAUCACUGUAACAUCGAUAGGUGUCACCCAGCUCAAUGUAACAUCGAUAGGUGUCACCCAGCUCAAUGUAACA